rnacentral:rRNA from 1 species
UACGUAGGGUGCAAGCGUUGUCCGGAAUUAUUGGGCGUAAAGAGCUCGUAGGCGGUCUGUCGCGUCUGCUGUGAAAUUUCGGGGCUCAACCCCGAACUUGCAGUGGGUACGGGCAGACUAGAGUGUGGUAGGGGAGACUGGAAUUCCUGGUGUAGCGGUGAAAUGCGUAGAUAUCGGAAGGAACACCGGUGGCGAAGGCGGCUACCUGGGCUGACACUGACGCUGAGGCGCGAAAGCGUGGGGAUCAAACAGG